AAAAAGUGACGGUCCCGCAAGGGGACGCUGAGGCCUCGGCCAAGGUGGAUUGCUUGACUCCUGUGUCAAGAAAACCAAUUACAUGUUCCCACGGUUGCCCGUACCGUAAACCGACACAGGUGGGUGAGUAGAGUAUACUCAGGCGCGUGAGUGAAACCUCGUUAAGGAACUCGGCAAUCUAGCCCCGUAACUUCGGAAGAAGGGGUGCCACCGCAAGGUGGUCGCAGUGAAAUGGGUCAACCGACUGUUUAACAAAAACACAGCACUCUGCCAAGUCGCAAGACGACGUAUAGGGUGUGACACGUGACCAAUGCGGAAAGAUUACGGCAAGAGGUUAGCCGCAAGGCGAAGCUUUGAACCCAAGUCCCCGUGAAUGUCUGCCGUAACUAUAACGGUCCUAAGGUAGCGAAAUUCCUUGUCGGGUAAGUUCCGACCUGCACGAAUCGUGUAACGAGUUGACCGCUGUCUCAACGAGGAGCUCAGCGAAGUUGUAGUGGCGGUGAAGAUGCCGCCUACCCGCAGUAGGACGGAAAGACCCUAUGCACCUUUACUACACGCUGUUACUGUUGUUUCGAUUUUGAUGCUUAGCGUAAGUGGAAGACUGUGAUUCAGACCUUUCGGGGUUUGAUGAGUCGCCAAUGAAACACCACCCUUCGAAAUUGGAAUAACUAACCUCUCGCCAUGAUCUGGCAGAGGGACACUGGCAGCCGGCUAGUUUUACUGGGGCGGUAUCCUCCCAAAGAGUAACGGAGGAGUACGAAGGUUGGCUCAACCUGGUUGGCAAUCAGGUGACGAGUAUAUGGAUAUAAGCCAGCUUAACUGCGAGACAUACAUGUCGAGCAGGUACGAAAGUAGGUCCAAGUGAUCCGGUGGUUGAAUGUGGAAUUGCCAUCGCUCAACGGACAAAAGGUACGCUAGGGAUAACAGGCUGAUCCUGCCCAAGAGCUCAUAUCGACGGCAGGGUUUGGCACCUCGAUGUCGGCUCAUCACAUCCUGGGGCUGGAGAAGGUCCCAAGGGUCCGGCUGUUCGCCGGUUAAAGUGGUACGCGAGCUGGGUUCAGAACGUCGCGAGACAGUUCGGUCCUUAUCCACUGUGGGCGCAGGAGAAUUGAGGGGUUCAUACCUUAGUACGAGAGGACCGGGUAUGACGAACCGCUGGUGUUCCAGUUGUCGUGUCAACGGCAGUGCUGGGUAGCUAUGUUCGGAAAGGAUAAGCGCUGAAAGCAUCUAAGCGCCAAGCCUAUCCCAAGAUGAGUUCUCCCUGAAGAGUCGUGGUAGACCACCACGUUGAUAGGUCACUGGUGUAAGUGCAGUAAUGUAUUCAGCUAAGUGAUACUAAUAACUCGUUCGGCUUGGUCAU
rnacentral:rRNA from 1 species